rfam:Camelus ferus unplaced genomic scaffold scaffold595, whole genome shotgun sequence.
UAAAAGGCUCUUUUCAGAGCUACCUACUUAACUUACUAAAGAGCUU